AUCCUAUUGUAUUUAGAUAGAAAUCUGAAACCUAUUCUUGCGUAAUAUAACGCAAGACACCUGCCUGCUUCUCCAGAUUCAAGAUGCACAAAUCAGUGUUGGAAUUUGAGAUUGACAGAAUCAGCUGACCAAUGGCAAGUACCUGAAGAGUGAAAGUAAAAUUUGACAAAGAAGCAAACAUACCUCAGCACAUACCUGGACACAAUACUGCUAUCGCCUGUAUGAGUAUCUGAUCUAUAUUGCAGAAAAACUACAACCAUUCCCAUAAACUUUAAGAGAGGAACAGUCAAAUUUACUUGAGGCACUUUUGAAGAUGCAACUAAAAACCUUUUUUAAAGCAGCAGUUAAACUGUUUUCCAAAAAAAAUGCCAUCACUUCAGUUCCAUUGAGCUUUAUGUUGUUGGGCUUGCAGGCAUUGAUGGAUGUCCAAUUCUCAUGCCCAUGCAAAGUUAAGUGGAAUGCACUUAUUUCGAGUUUUGUCUUAAUUGUACCUGCUCUCUUUGUAUUUGUCAUAAUGCUCAUGUUUUUAAGGCCUUGUAAAUAUAGCCAUUCUCAAGGACAGGACAGCAAUGGGAAACUGCAAGAACAAGACAAAAAUAAAGCAUCUCAAGAGCAUGGCAAAGGUGGACAAUCUCAAGAACAAGACGGAAGGGGAAAAUCUGAGUCUGAAGAAACUAAGCAAAGUUUUGUGACUGUUUUGGUGGCUUGUCUGAUUCCACCGGUUGUGUGGAUCUGUAUAUUUUUCAUUGAUGGUGAUUAUCUUGCAUGUGCAGCAACAGACUGGAAUGGACAGUAUGCCUGUGAUAAGAAACUGCAUCCAAUUUGUUUGAAUUGGUGCAAACCUACUGAAUCAAACCAAGGAGGAAAUGAGACUGAACUAUAUGAACAAACACGAGAGAUGGUUGAUAAGUCAAAGUUUAUAGGUUAUAGCCUGGCCUUUGCCUUCUGCAUUAUAGCAAUUAUCAUUGUGAGUGCUAACGACUGCAACAGAGGUUGCAAUCCAGCCUGCUGGAAAAGGGCAUUUCCAGGAAUUGGAGGAGAGGAAAAGAGUGAUCUGUUGAUAAAGCCUCCAAAGAAACAAAAUGAGAAACACGAGAUGGGCACAUUUCAAGAUGACGACUCAACACAGAGACGUUCAAGUAAAGUUGUAGAAAUAGAAGAAAAUGUUUAAUAGAUCAAUUCCAAUGUUCUGUUUAUGUUCUUUGCCAGUUUUUGAGGUUAUUUUGCUUAUUUUACAAAGUGCAGGAAUUUCUCUCAUUUAUAUUUCAUUUGCUUUAUUCUGUUAUCAGUAAUAGCAUUCUCUCAAAGGUACUGUAAAUUUAAAUGUCAUAUCUCAGUCACACUUUGGGUCCAAUUCUCACUAUAAACUAACCAUUAACUACAGCUUUUGCCUCAAUAACCUCUUUAUUACUGCUUAUUAAUAGUUAAGUUUAGUUACUGGGUAGGAUUAAGGAAUGCAGAAUAUGGUCAUGCAGAAUAAGGCAUUAAUAUGUGCAUUAUAAGUACUAAUAAACAGCCAAUAUCCUAGUAAUAUAAUAUGCAUGCUAAGCAACUAGUUAGUGAGAAUUGGACCCUAAACUAAAGUGUUACCCAUAUCUCUAGUCAUGGUAUAGUUUUAAUCUGAUGUGUAUAACAUGCCAUUUGAUUGCAAUGAAAAUAUAAAGGCAAAAGUGA